CCUACGGGUGGCAGCAGUGAGGAAUAUUGGUCAAUGGACGCAAGUCUGAACCAGCCAUGCCGCGUGCAGGAAGACGGCUCUAUGAGUUGUAAACUGCUUUUGUUCGGGGGUAAUCGCAGAUACGCGUAUCUGGAUGCAAGUAUCGUACGAAUAAGGAUCGGCUAACUCCGUGCCAGCAGCCGCGGUAAUACGGAGGAUUCCAGCGUUAUCCGGAUUUAUUGGGGUUAAAGGGUGCGUAGGCGGUCGGAUAAGUUAGAGGUGAAAUACCGAGGCUCAACUUCGGAAUUGCCUCUGAUACUGUUCGGCUAGAGGAUAGAUGCGGUAGGCGGAAUGUAUGGAGUAGCGGUGAAAUGCUUAGAGAUCAUACAGAACACCGAUAGCGAAGGCAGCUUACCAGGCUACUACUGACGUUGAGGCACGAAAGCGUGGGUAGCGAACAGGAUUAGAUACCCCUGUAGUC
rnacentral:rRNA from 1 species